rnacentral:lncRNA from 1 species
UUUACAUUUCUCUAGGAAAAUAAAGGAAAGUCUGGAGUGUUUCCCUGUUAAAUUGAAUAACUUGAUCCACACACUUGCACAAAUGUCAGCCAUAAGCCCUGCCAGAUCUACUUCACAGACUUUUCCUCAGGAAUCCUGUUUGCUGAGUACAACUAGGUCGAUUGAAAGAGCAACAAUUUUAGGGUUCAGCAAGAAAUCCAGUAAUCUGUAUCUGAUCCAGGUGACACACAGCAACAACGAAACAAGCCUGACAGAAAAAUCAUUUGAGCAGUUUUCAAAACUUCACAGCCAACUUCAGAAGCAGUUUGCAUCACUGACUCUCCCAGAGUUUCCUCAUUGGUGGCACCUACCUUUUACAAAUUCAGAUCACAGAAGAUUCAGAGAUCUAAAUCAUUACAUGGAACAGAUAUUAAAUGGAUCACAUGAAGUUACAAACAGUGAUUGUGUACUUAGCUUUUUCCUCUCUGAGGCUGUGCAACAAACAGUUGAAGAA